rnacentral:rRNA from 1 species
UACAGAGGUCUCAAGCGUUGUUCGGAUUCAUUGGGCGUAAAGGGUGCGUAGGCGGGUCUUUAAGUCAGGGGUGAAAUCCUGGAGCUCAACUCCAGAACUGCCUUUGAUACUGAAGAUCUUGAGUCCGGGAGAGGUGAGUGGAACUGCGAGUGUAGAGGUGAAAUUCGUAGAUAUUCGCAAGAACACCGGUGGCGAAGGCGGAUCUCUGGGCCAUAACUGACGCUGAGGCACGAAGGCCAGGGGAGCAAACGGG